rnacentral:rRNA from 1 species
GACGAACGCUGGCGGCGUGCUUAACACAUGCAAGUCGAACGGAAAGGCCCUGCUUUUGUGGGGUGCUCGAGUGGCGAACGGGUGAGUAACACGUGGGUAACCUGCCCUUGACUUUGGGAUAACUUCAGGAAACUGGGGCUAAUACCGGAUAGGAGCUCCUGCUGCAUGGUGGGAGUUGGAAAGUUUCGGCGGUUGGGGAUGGACUCGCGGCUUAUCAGCUUGUUGGUGGGGUAGUGGCUUACCAAGGCUUUGACGGGUAGCCGGCCUGAGAGGGUGACCGGCCACAUUGGGACUGAGAUACGGCCCAGACUCCUACGGGAGGCAGCAGUGGGGAAUAUUGCACAAUGGGCGGAAGCCUGAUGCAGCAACGCCGCGUGCGGGAUGACGGCCUUCGGGUUGUAAACCGCUUUCGCCUGUGACGAAGCGUGAGUGACGGUAAUGGGUAAAGAAGCACCGGCUAACUACGUG